rnacentral:rRNA from 1 species
UACGGAGGGAGCUAGCGUUGUUCGGAAUUACUGGGCGUAAAGCGCGCGUAGGCGGCUUUGUAAGUUAGAGGUGAAAGCCCGGAGCUCAACUCCGGAACUGCCUUUAAGACUGCAUCGCUUGAAUCCAGGAGAGGUGAGUGGAAUUCCGAGUGUAGAGGUGAAAUUCGUAGAUAUUCGCAAGAACACCAGUGGCGAAGGCGGCUCACUGGCCCGAUACUGACGCUGAGGCACGAAAGCGUGGGGAGCAAACAGG